AUUGAACGCUGGCGGAAUGCCUUACACAUGCAAGUCGAACGGCAGCACGGGAGCAACCCUGGUGGCGAGUGGCGAACGGGUGAGUAAUACAUCGGAACGUGCCCAAUCGUGGGGGAUAACGUAGCGAAAGCUACGCUAAUACCGCAUACGAUCUACGGAUGAAAGCAGGGGAUCGCAAGACCUUGCGCGAAUGGAGCGGCCGAUGGCAGAUUAGGUAGUUGGGGGGUAAAGGCUCACCAAGCCUUCGAUCUGUAGCUGGUCUGAGAGGACGACCAGCCACACUGGGACUGAGACACGGCCCAGACUCCUACGGAGGCAGCAGUGGGGAAUUUUGGACAAUGGGCGCAAGCCUGAUCCAGCCAUUCCGCGUGCAGGAUGAAGGCCUU
rnacentral:rRNA from 1 species